UACAAAGCAAGGGUAUUUGGCUUAUGCUAAUCCCAUCUAACUUAAUGUGCUGUAUGUAGGACUGCCUGAGAAGACUGUUUAGAAGCUGAUGCUGGUGCAGAAGGUGGCAGCUCGCAUUCUGACAGGGGUGCAUCACCAGGAGCACCUGGAAGCAGGAAGAGGAAGUGAUAAGAAACCCUGCAGAGUCCUGCUGCUGUGAUUGUAGACUGCAAAUCCCAGGGACUUUAGGGGCAGCAGGAAGAAGAAGUGGACAUACAGCCCAUACUGGCUAUGCUCUAGUACCUCCCUUCCCCCCAGCUUCUGGCCUGAGCCACUGCAGCAACAGAUGUGUGGGACCAAAAAAGAAGAACAUGACACUUGGAAUACACCAGCUUUUGUUGUUUGAGAGGGAGAAGAUUUAGGUCACCCAGAUAGAGUGAUGAUUCUGGUGCUUUGCUGUGCUACAAAUGAUUGCAUACUACGGGUAUGUCCAGAUGAGCGUGGCUGAUGCGGUGAAAAGAGCCGGAGAAUGCUGCUUCCGGAGCCAUUGCCAUAUUAGGAUGAAAGCUCCAGGACUGGAAAGUAAACAAAGAAAAGAAGAAAGUGAAUUGACCCACUCUCUCAAGCUUGGAGACCGCAUCUGGGUGUCUGUCACGAGGACUCAAGGCUUCAGGCACAUGCAGGAUAAAAAGUACACACUUAUAGCAACAAAAUAAAGAGAAAGUAUAUGAUGGGUUUUGAAGAUAAAAGUCUGCCCAAAAAAGAUAAACAGAUGAACAAGAGAUAAAGAGACUUCGUUUUCUAAUACCAAGUUCAGUCCAACCAAAUUGAUAGCAGUUACAUAAGAACAUUAUAUAGAUAGAAUUACAAAGUUGAUAUGACUGAUGAGGCUAAAUAAAAAAAAAAAAAAAAAAAAAAGGAAAGGAUAUAAAUGGACAACUUCUGCCUAAAAGUAAAGAAAGUUUGUAUAGAACGAUAAAAGAUAAAAAUAAAGGCAAGUGUUAAUCUGAAUCAGACUGUGAAUAUAUAUAUAUAUUUCACAUAUAUAUAUAUAUAUAUCGGUGAGUGUGUGUGGAUAGUCGAGAAGGCGAGCAAGGUAUUCCUUUUAUAAUACCGGGACUCCUAAUAGAGCCACAACCCCCUCCCUCCCCCCCGCCCCCGAAAUAUAUAUAAUAUAAAAUAACCCUCCUGACUAGUAACAUCAUAAAUUAGAACAUAUUAUAACAACACCCAAGACAUAACAGGCAGGAAAGUCGGGGUACCUAUAGUUCUUUGGGAGAUUAUAAGAGGAUAUGAAGAGACAUCCUAAGGACCACCAUCACAUGGUGGGGGAAAAAAAAUGCAUCUACAGACUUCAUUUUAGGCCUUGUAAAGUACAAAUGUAUGCUCUUUUCAGUGUGAAAUAGUGAUAGAUCAUUAGAGUUUGGAGUUCAUAGAUAAAUAUAUGCUAUGCUUAACGCACAUGACAUUUCAUACUAACGUAACUGAAGAGCUGCUGAAAGAACUAAGAUUGAAACAAAUGCUCUGACAUCUUUGAUCAGUGAUACAGAGUAAUAUGGAAGCUCUUUUAUACAGAACUACUCUUGUCACUUUUCAUAAACUAAUUUAUUAUUCUGGUGGUAAAAAGAAAUGUUAUACAUCUCAGUUCCUCAGAGCAAAUGUAUGAAUAUCUAAGACUGCAAGUGAUCAACAUCUGUGGAAUACUUCAGUCAUGGGAGCCCUGUUCCUGCUCCUUCCUCCUACCCUACCCCAUUUUGGCGAAGUGAAAAAUUGAGCAAUGGUGUGGUGCUGGUCUGGAUACUGCAAGCAGAUCAGAAAACCAGGAUUAUAUUCUUGCCCAUUCCAGUAAUUUUAUUUGUGACCUUAGCAAAUUAUUUAUUCUCAAAUAUUUAGGAAUGUCCAAUAAAUUAGGUGGCCAUAACCUAUCACAAGUUUGGGUCUCACAAACUGAGGCACCAAAAUUAUUGCUUUGGACAAUGUUGGCUCUAGGAUUUAAUUUCUUAAAUAAAAAAAAAAGUCAAAGAUAGUACUAUUUCCUUAUGUAUAGGCUGUUCUCAGAUAUAGGAGUAUAAGGUGAACAUUAUUUGAAGUAAUGCAGAAGCUGAACUAGAAAAUCUGAGGCUGCAUAUUUUUUUGUCUCAGUUGUUGUAUGUGUAACAUAUCUAAUACUGGCCAUCUCUGCAAAGUGUUUUUAGCUCCCCGGGGUAAAGGGAUACAAACAAUUGCAGCGCUAUUUCACAAUAAAUAUAAAUUUGCAAUGUGAGAACUAAUUUUCAGAGAACCAAAGGUCAUAGACAAUGACCUUGUUCCUGUAAGUAGUGGCUGUCUCCAUCUUCCAAUAGAAAAAAAAAGUUUUAGUUAACCAUACACUUCUCUCUACUUUCAGCAGCCACUGUGUGAGGAGGAAAAUCAGUUUCACAGACUAUUUUCUGUGUGUGUGCCUGUGUGUUUGUUUGCAAGGUGCCCGUUGUAGCGUAGCAGAAUCUUUUCUUCGUUCUGUUCUUUUCCAGAUGCAGAACGUUAUUUUUAAAUAAACAUCAGACCCAAAACAUGGUGAGAAUUUCUGUAAAUAAUAACAACUGAAAACAAAACAAGGACAAAUACAAAAAAAAUUCUGUAAAAAUACAAUGCUACAUUCACUUCUUUAUUAUAUCAUAUAAUGUGACAUGGAAGUCUUUCUAGUUCUCCCAGUAAUAGCAAAACAAAAUUUGAGCAGUGAUAUUGUACACAAAAGACCCCCUGACACACUCUCUCUCCCCAUUUAUUUGAGUAAAUAAAAUUACUUCUUUUGUAAUGUGAGAAGUUAGCCUUGGUACAUAUAAUAUUGGAGCUUGAAAAAUUAAUUCAGUUCAGUGAAAGUUUGUUAAAGCCUGACAGAUUUUGUCUUAAAAUUAAAAAGCAAUCAUUGAAAGCUCCUCUGGGUCUCCAGUAUUUCAUAAUAUAUAAUUUUAUUGGAAAAAAAUACUUUUGUGACAUACAUUUUCAUAUUGUGUUUCCUGUUAUUUGAUAGUUUUCCUCAUGUACUUUAAAAUUUGUCUUCUCCUUCAGUGCACUUACAGAAAUGUAAUGCACUUGCAGCUUUAGUUACAAUAAGCUUCUGUGUUGUUCUAUAAUUUGGCAACUGCAAAACAUGAGUGACUGCAGUUGGGAUAGUGAAAUAACUGAUAUGUUUAGUCUUUAAAGGUAUAGAUGAUCCAUUUCUAAUUUAAACAGAAAAAUUUGCUGUUGAAUAAAAUAGUAUGAACUAAGAUGCAUCAGUGCUAGGCAAAUACACCAAAUGAAUGAAUGGAACUGCAGUAGCAUAAGUGGGAAAGGAUUUGUGUAUCUAGUUUAGCUAUUGAAUGCAGUCUUCCUAUGAGUCUAUACUAGCACUUAGUAGUUCUAAUUUUCCAUUGUCUAUAAUUCUACUUUACAGUUCUCAGAGCAUCUCUUUAAUACAGACAGGGACAUUUCAGAAGACUUUCAGGAGUCCAGUGAAAUUGUAGGAAGAGUGAUUUUGCUCAUAAUUUUAUGGGAAAUGCAACAGUGUUUUGGUGUUUCUAGAAUUCUAGGGUACUCAGACAUUUUGGAAAGUAUGACCAUUUAUUUGCCUUUUAAGAAUGUAGGGUUAGAACAUGCUCUUCACUCUGCCAGAAGAUUUGUAAAUUCUUAAUUUCUCUUUUUUUUAAAAAAAACCAAUAAGACAAAACAAAAACAUUACAUCAGAUUGGUGUGUUGGGCCAUGAUUACUCUCCUCCAACUCUGGAAAGAUCCUGUAACAAAGGCUUGUCUAUGAAACUAGAUUAUUAACCUUCUGCUCAUCCUUUUCAACCUUUUAUAUCUGAGAUGCUUAAUUUGCACGUGCAAGAAAUCCCCUUGAUUUGUAGGUGCAUUUCUACUCUAUAUUUGAAAACUUAUCUUGAGGAGCUAUCAUUUUAUAAUAAAGCAAACCAUUUUUUUAAUUGAUUUUUUUUUCUACCCCUGAUUUCCUGGUUCUUUUAGGUUUGCUGUGUCUGAAAUAAUUAAUCCCAGACCUUUUUUCCUCCUUGAUUUAAAAAAAAAAAAAAAAAUCUUUACAAUUGUUAAAUUUUCUGUUAUUGGGACAUAUAUAUGCACUCUCUCUCAUUAGCUAAGCUCAUCAAAAGUAAAUGUUAUUAUUUACUCUAUAGAUUAAUGUCACAAUUGCACAUAUAGGUGAUAAAUUGUUUUCUGCAGCAUGGCAGGGAACUUUAUGAUUAUCAGUGCUACUUUGCUUCUGGUAAACUCAUUAUUCCAUAGUAAAGACUCGUAACUUAAUUCUUUAUCACAGUGACAAUACAGACUUAGAGUAGACUCAGUAGGGCUUCUGUUUAGGUGUAUUGCAAUUAUUCCCACUAUAAUUGUUUUAUACUGUUCGUUUUAGAACAAGUAUGCUGCUGAUUUAUUCACUGACAAGUUUUAUAGGGCCUAUCUUUGUCAGUGUUUAACCAUUAUAGCUCAACAAAAUGGCAACAAUAAUUUUAUAAUGCCAUAGCGUAACCCCUUCAUACUUUUUUCAAAGUGAGUCAGUGAGACCCUUUUGAGCAUGUUGGUGGAGAAAUGGAGGUGGUUGGCAGAGGUGUGGGUGUAUCACUGAUGCCGAGGACAUUGGAGACACGUAGGGGGUGCACGCAGGUGCACGUGCACCCCCUGAGUUUGGUGGUGCAUCCCCUGUGAAAAGGCACUGCCGGUGUAGCUGCUUGCCACUCCCCCCUCGUUGCCAACACUGCUGGCAGCGUCUGCGGGCAGUCUGCAAUCACCGCUGGCCACCACCAAUGCCACCAGCGGUGUCUGUGGGUGGUCGCCAACUGCCAGUCAGCACUCACCGCUAUAAAUAAAUAAUAUUAUAUAUUAUAUAUACACAUUAUAUAUAAUAUUUUUCUUAGUAAGUUUUUCACUGAUUGCAUGCUAUCUGUUUGUUACUGUAUUUAUUAUGGCAAUAAAAAUAAUAUGGACUCUUAAAAACUUAAUUUUUAUUCACAGUGACAAAUGUAAUGCCAGCUACCUCACACCACAUGCUGCUGGUUUAUAACAGCACCUUCUUAAUGAGAAAUUAAACAAAAACUACAUAUUGAA